rnacentral:lncRNA from 1 species
AUUUGUUGGAUACAUUCUUAAAUUGAGUUAAAUUUCUGCAGGUGUAGUCCCUUACAGAUAUUCCUAUUCAAAAUUUUUCUUCCCAUUAAAAACAGCAUUAGGGACCUUAGUGUACAGGGAUCUACAUUUAAAAACACAGGAAAGGAAAAAUGAAAAUGUUUUGAGUUCACGUUAUUGGGAUUAAGGCAGAGAAAAUGUGAGAAAGGCAAUAUUUGAUGAAAUAAUGCCUGGUGACUUCCCAGAAUUAUUGAAAAGUAUGAAUCCUCAGAUUUAAGAAUAAUAAUAAUCCCAAAGCAAGAUAAAUAAAACAAAUCUAUAUAGGUGAUUUUAGGUAAAGCUUUCUAAGAGCCUUUGUUUCUUAGAGAUAUUUUAUUUCUUAGGUAGAGCUUUUAUUUCUUAGAGAUAUUGAUUAAUUUUUAGU